GGCUCCGUAGUUCAACGGAUAGAAUGGAGGUUUCCGGAACCUUUGAUAUGGGUUCGAUUCCCGUCGGGGCUA
rnacentral:tRNA from 1 species